GAAUUCUUCUCCAUCUUUUACUGCCUUAACACAAAAUAGGGAUAUUGGGAGGAACCCAAACAUCCUCCCACAGCAGGAAUGCGAGGAGGAAACAUGCCAGAGCCAGCACUGGUGGGAAUGCCUCCAAAGAGGACCAACAAAUGAACAUCUGAUGUGCUAAACCAACCCAAUUCCAUUCUCAGCUUUGCUUUCCACCGGCAAUUACAGCACAUUUCUGGUGAAUAUUUUUUCCUGGAAGCUGAAACAGUUUCAUUAGAGCUUUAAUCUGACAGGACAGCUGAGAACAGACUUGUGAAAAGCAAUUACUUUGGCCACUGAUUACUUCCCAUGCAGAUAGCGAGUACUCCAACUGCAGAGCGCUGGGGAAGACCACAGCUUCAUGUGAUGGACUACAAUAUCUGGAGGAGUUAAUUAAUCUUGUGGGGUAAAAUUUCAUCAGCCACAUUAAGCAGUAAGUGGAGUGACAGCAGUGAACUGAGCUCAACAGGGACAAGCUACUUCCAUCCAGGGACAAGCCUCAUUUUGCACUGCUGCCUCUUCUCCCUUGGCUGAUCCCACCACCAUCCCUUGUGCUGCCACUCAGGACGUCCACAUGAAGCAGAAGCCUGGAGCAAGCUGCACGAGCACGCACACCCCAGCCUGUGUGGCAGGAGCAUCACCGUGCUCAGGUUUGCAGUCAGGUUGCUGUGGUUUUGAGGGACAGACCAGCUAGUUGGAAGAGCCCUUACUUCCAAGGUUUUCAAUAGCAUUCCUUACUGGUCCAGACCUAGAAGACACCAAGGCCUCCUCACACACAAGAUU